UGGUAUAUCUCUGAGGGUUAUAUUGGAUGGAGAUCAGCGAUUUCACAUCAUGUUUUGACUGAGGUUAUAGCAGACUUUGGGUUAGGAGCUUUACUUUAGUAUAGAUUUUCAUCUUAGAGUGAUGGAUAGUUUGAGCGCUCUAUCAUGUGUUGGAGGAUUUAUUGAUAGUGGAUUUUGGAUUUUAGAGGUGUUUGAUUUAUCCACAGUUGGCUAGAUUGCAGAGUGGGAGUAACAGGAGCAGAGUGAGCUCAUAGCUCACAAAGUCAUCACUAUUCACUUGGAGGUGGAUUGUCAUGCUUAGAGAUAUGUUUAUGAUACUAGGGUUGGAGAUUUGUUUAUGAUACUUGGAUGAGUGGCAUAUGAGUAUGUUGAUUGGUGGAUACCUUGGAGGAGGGUCCCUGAGUUGACCAGUAAAUUUGGGGACCAAAUUUUUUAUUAGUGGGGGAGAAUGUAAAAUACCACAAAAUUAAAUAAUAAAUGUUAUUGGACGGAAAAUCUUAUUGGAUUUUUCAGGAAUUUCUAGAAAUUUUUCGGGAUUUAAACGGAGUCUGUAUGACCCAUUUUAGGGGGAUAGAUCCUGGGUACAGAGGAGGUCUGUUUGGAAUACCCAAAGGUGGGAAUUGAUUGAGGAGUGGACUUAGGCUUUGAUUAAGCUAAAUUAGGUUUGGGGAUUAAUGCUACAGUAACCUACCUUAUAAGCGCCGAGGACCCCUCUUUUCCCCCGAUUCUUCUUCCUCCCCUGUCCACUUCGUCCCGAUCCUCACCGGCGAUUCUCCUCCUCCUCCUUAUCUCGGUGUCGCCGGCGUGGCUGAUGGUGGAGUGCUUAGGAGGGAAGACAAGCUACGGGCGUUUCUCUCCUUCCUCCCAUUCUCGAUUCCCAUCGCAUCUCAGUCGUGAUGCCGGCGAUUCUUGAUCGCGCCAGUGAUGUCCAGCCCAUCGCCACCGGACCUUCCUUCUCCAUCCCGAUUGCUGAUGCCCCGUCUCCCUCCUCCCUCUCCCGUUCGUGAUGCUGGAAUCCAUCGACCCACGGGAUGCCGUAGCCGUUCUUGAAGCUGUGCCCUAGCUCAGAUUCGUCGCCGACAACCACUCUUUCCCCCACCCGAUGUGUUUCUCUCGCAACCUCUUCUGAUCGUUGGUCGCACUACCACGGCCUCGCUGCCUCGCCGUGUACUGGAGUCUCGAUCGAGUGCCACCACCAGGGAACGAUUAGUUUAGGCAUCAGAUCGAAAUAUUGGAGGAUUGCACUGUUGCCGAUCACUGCCACUCCAACUCUUGAAGCUGUGGAGGUCACGGGUGUGAAGGAAUUCUUGGUGGUUGUGUGCAGAGAUUGGUAGAGGGCUGUUGAGCUACUGGGUUUGUUGCCAUACCUCAAGGACUUGGAUUCGGGACGAGCGUCUCGACACGGGAUUACU